CCUACGGGUGGCAGCAGUGAGGAAUAUUGGUCAAUGGGCGCGAGCCUGAACCAGCCACGUCGCGUGAAGGAUGACUGCCCUACGGGUUGUAAACUUCUUUUAUAAAGGAAUAAAGUGAGGCACGUGUGCCUUUUUGUAUGUACUUUAUGAAUACGGAUCGGCUAACUCCGGGCCAGCAGCCGCGGUAAUACGGAGGAUCCGAGCGUUAUGCGGAUUGAUUGGGGGUAAAGGGAGCGUAGAUGGGUUGUUAAGUCAGUUGUGAAAGUUUGCGGCUCAACCGUAAAAUUGCAUUUGAUACUGGCAGUCUUGAGUACAGUUGAGGUAGGCGGAAUUCGUGGUGUAGCGGUGAAAUGCUUAGAUAUCACGAAGAACUCCGAUUGCGAAGGCAGCUUACUAAACUGCCACUGACAUUGAUGCUCGAAAGUGUGGGUAGCAAACAGGAUUAGAUACCCCAGUAGUC
rnacentral:rRNA from 1 species